rnacentral:rRNA from 1 species
UGGGGAAUAUUGCACAAUGGACGAAAGUCUGAUGCAGCAACGCCGCGUGGAGGAUGACACAUUUCGGUGCGUAAACUCCUUUUAUGUGAGAAGAUAAUGACGGUAUCACAUGAAUAAGCACCGGCUAACUCCGUGCCAGCAGCCGCGGUAAUACGGAGGGUGCAAGCGUUACUCGGAAUCACUGGGCGUAAAGCGCGCGCAGGCGGCUUUGUAAGUUGGAUGUGAAAUCCUAUGGCUCAACCAUAGAACUGCAUCCAAAACUACUUAGCUAGAGUCUGGGAGGGGAAGAUGGAAUUAGUGGUGUAGGGGGUAAAAUCCGUAGAGAUCACUAGGAAUACCAAAAGCGAAGGCGAUCUUCUGGAACAGUACUGACGCUGAGGCGCGAAAGCGUGGGGAGCAAACA